rnacentral:rRNA from 1 species
CUCGAACGCCGGGCCAGGAGCCGAGGUAUUACGUAGGGUGCAAGGUUUAAUCGGAAUUACUGGGCGUAAGGCGGGCGCAGGCUGUUUUGUAAGACAGGGGUGCAAUCCCCGGGCUCAACCUGGGAACGUCCUUUGGGACUGCAAGGCUGGAGUGCGGCAGAGGGGGAUGGAAUUCCGCGUGUAGCAGUGAAAUGCGUAGAUAUGCGGAGGAACACCGAUGGCGAAGGCAAUCCCCUGGGCCUGCACUGACGCUCAUGCACGAAAGCGUGGGGAGCAAACAGGAUUAGAUACCCCAGUAGUC